AGAGAGAGACAUGCGCGCAUAUCAAUAAGCGGAGGAAAAGAAACUAACAAGGAUUCCCUUAGUAACGGCGAGUGAAGCGGGAAGAGCUCAAAUUUGAAAUCUUCAAGGUUUUACCUUGACGAAUUGUAGUUUAAAGAAGUGCUUUCUGCUGAAGUUUUGGUAAAAGUUCUUUGGAAUAGGACAUCAUAGAGGGUGAGAAUCCCGUAUUUGACCAUUAUUUUCAGCUUUGUGAUACACUUUCAAAGAGUCGGAUUGUUUGGGAAUGCAGUCCAAAAUGGGUGGUAAAUUUCAUCUAAAGCUAAAUAUUGGCGAGAGACCGAUAGCGAACAAGUACCGUGAGGGAAAGAUGAAAAGAACUUUGAAAAGAGAGUUAAACAGUACGUGAAAUUGUCAAAAGGGAAGCGUUUGACACCAGUGUUGUUUUCUCGAAAAUCAAUUAAAAAUGGCUCGAUUUUGUAUUGUUGAGACCUUAAAAGCUCACUGUACAUUUUUCGUGUCUUUUUUAAUGCACUUUUCGUUUAACAAGUCAACAUCAGUUUCUUUUGUUGUAAAAGGGUCAUUGGAAGGUGGCUUUCUUUUCGGAGAAAGUGUUUAUAGCCUUUGGCCUCUGCAAUCGAAGAGAUUGAGGUCUGCAGCGUAGAUCCUUCGGGGUUAGAUACAUUUGUGCUAAGUUAUAGCCUUUUCAUAGACGACUUGUUGACUAUGAAUCAGUCAUGUAGCUUACUCGCUUAUGCUAUUUUACCUACGCUUAGGAUGUUGAGUCGUAGAGCACGCAG
rnacentral:rRNA from 1 species